rnacentral:lncRNA from 1 species
GCAUCCUCAAAAUUGUAAACAGGCCCCUCUCUGAAGAAAAACCCAAACAUCCCAUUUAUAUAUCCUCCACAGAUUGCAUGACCAGUCUUCUUGCCAGCAUCUAAAAUACCUUGAGUAAGUUCACCAGUGAUCUUAUCCAAGUACUCAUAUGUUCCUGGCUCCUUCAGCCGUUUCAGGGUGUGUAUGCCAGCAGUCAUUGCCAGUGGAUUCCCACUCAAGGUUCCAGCCUGGUACAUUGGUCCUGCUGGUGCCACCAUCUCCAUGAUGUCCCUCCUUCCACCAUAAGCACCAACUGGAAGACC